GGUGUGUAGCCGCCGUGCGCGCUGUCGGGGCGCGGGGCGCGGCGGGAGAAGUGAUCCAGCAAUGACGCGUGCAUGAUGAAGGCCUUCCGGUUGUAAACUGCUUUUGUACGGAGCGAAAAGGCUCUCUCUAAUACAGGGUGCUCAUGACGGUACCGUAAGAAUAAGCACCGGCUAACUACCUGCCAGCAACCGCGGUAAUUA
rnacentral:rRNA from 1 species